AAAAGAGUGAGAACAACAGGGAGGAAAAAAAGCCUCAACAAUUAUGGCAACACCAACAUCUUAUGACUCUUCUUCUUCAUCAAACAAAAUUUCUCAGCAUAUGAUUCAACAAUGAUAAAUAUUCCCAUGAAAUGAAAAGAAAAACAGAAGAAAAAAAGUUGGAACUCCAAAAACCACAUGUCAUCCAUUACUGUUUUGUCAACAGCAGAAGAACACUGCUACUGAACUUCCACCUACACCACCAUCUUACAGAAGCUCAACAUUCAGUAAUAGAAAAGAGAGAAAGAUCUUAUCUUAACAUUUACUUCUCAAGCUGUGGUCUAAUUUUCUUCUGUGUGGCUAUUAUUUAAACUCAGAAUUGGAGACUUGACUAGCUGAGAGUAUAGCAGUCGUAGUUGGAUCAUACUUGAGUCAACCUGAUAUAAAUCAGUUAGGUGCCAAAUGUAUUCUUAUACUUAUCAUAUGUAGUAGCAUGAUCACAGAUAGCUAGCUACCUGUAUAAAAGGUCACUAGCUAGCACGAUCUUCAACAAGAAUCCAGCUAAAGUGCUUGUUUUGUCAUGUUUUGAAACUCUUUUCUUAGAUAAUAAUGGAGAUGUGGUCUGUUUACUUCUCAGUUCUGGUAAUAAUUUUGCUUGUAAUAAGCACCACUCAUUGGAUCUAUAGGUGAAGGAACCCAAAAUACAAUGGAAAUCUACCUCCUGGCUCCAUGGGCUUCCCAUAGAUUGGGGAGACCUUGCAGUUUCUCAUUCCAAGCAAGUCACUAGACAUCCCAAAUUUUAUCAAGAAGAGAAUUAGAAAAUAUGAUCCACUGUCUCGAACCAGCUUGGUGGGUAGGCCAGUGAUUGUAUCAUCAGAUCCUGAUUUCAACUAUAACCUUCUUCAACAAGAGGGAAAAUUGGUUGAAAGAUGCUACAUGGAUUCCUUUGCCAAGCUUCUUCACCAAGACGCCACAUCAGUUAUUUCGAAACAUGGUUCCAUACACAAGUACCCCAGGAACUUAGUCUUGGCUUAUUUUGGCCCUGGGCCCCUCAAAGAUAAGCUGCUGCCAAAGUUAGAAACUGCUAUAAGCCAAGCAUUGCAGGAUUGGUCUAAGCGACCAACUAUAGAAGUGAAGAGUGCCAGUUCAUCUGUAAAUCAAUUUUGAGCUUAAAUUUCCAGUUACCUUUUGAAUAACUUCUAAAUUGUAGCUCUAGAUUGAUGGAAUGAAGCAUCAUAAGCGCUGCUGUUUUUUGAUGUCUCGCAAUAAGACUUGUAGCUACUAUCACUGCCUCAACAUCUUUUUCUCUAUUUUCUUCCAAAAACUUGCAGAUGAUAUUUGAUUUUACUGCAAAAGUAUUGUUCAGUUAUGAAUCAGAAAAAUCAGGGGAAAAUAUAGCUGAAAGUUUCACCAACUUCUUGCUAGGACUCAUGUCAAUCCCUUUGAAUAUUCCUGGCACAGCAUUUCAUAGAUGUUUAAAGAACCAGAAGAGGGCUAUAAAACCAAUAACUGAAGAGGGACGGCGCCAUCCAGGGAUCCGCAAAGGAGAUUUUCUUGAUCAAAUUGUGGAAGACAUGCAAAAGGAAAAUUUUUGGACAGAUGAGUUUGCCAUUUACAUGAUGUUUGGGCUGCUCCUUGCCAGCUUUGAGACUAUAUCCUCCACACUUGCUUUAGCCAUUAAAUUUCUCACAGACGACCCUCCAGUGGUGCAGAAACUGACGGUAAGUAAACUAAAAAUUACUGAAAACUCUUGAAAACAAGUAGUUGAUGAAGAUUGAUUCUGUACCUUCCCAAGUGGAGCAUGAGAGAAUCCUUGAGAGAAGAAAAGGUACAGAUUCUGGACUUCCAGGAAAGAAUAUAAAUCCAUGACCUAUAUUACCCAUCAUGUUGUUAACGAAUAACUCAGGUUGGCAAGUGUUGCUCCAGGAAUGCUUAGAAGGGCCAUAAAAGACAUUCAAGUUGAAGGAUACACAAUCCCUAAAGGCUGGACUAUCAUGGUUGUUCCAGCAGCUGUUCAAUUAAAUCCCAACACCUACAAAGAUCCCCUUACCUUUUUUUUUCUUGGACGGGUCAUUGCUAGUUUUUAGAUCAGAUUGCUCCUUUAUAAAUUUAACCAUUAGAUUGCUUUGAUUUUGUAUAUAUUAUGCUAUACUCUUAUUUUUUAGGGUGAGAAAGUAUAGCAUAAUAUAUACAAAAAUCAGAGUAAUUCAAUAGUUAAAUUAGCUUUGAUCUAUAAAAACUUCAUGGGUAAAAUGAAGACAUAGAGAGUUUGGUUUGGUGAGAGAAAAGGAAAGAGACGUUGGGGCUUGUUUUUUAUUAUUUUGAUUUUAGGCGUUGUAUUUUGUAGGUUCCAUAAAUUCAAGUUUAGGUAAAAAGCAAGAAUCGUAUCUCUUUUAUGGACAUACCAAACACCCUUUCUAAUCUUCUGACAUGACAUUGCUUAAUUAGGUUGACAUAUUAUUACAGUAAGCUUGAUUUGAGGGCAUCAUCUCUCUCAUCCUCAUCAAUGAGGGGUUUAAUGGCGCCGGCUGCUCCAUCUCUUUCUACUCUCCCUUUCAGACCACCUCUCUAGGAGUUAUAUUUUUGUCCACGUAUGAUUGUCUAAGGAAUCAUUCUUUUUUCUAUGAAUAAAAACAUCUUUUCCGUGCAA